CCUACGGGGGGCUGCAGUGGGGAAUAUUGGACAAUGGGGGGAACCCUGAUCCAGCCAUGCCGCGUGUGUGAAGAAGGCCCUCGGGUUGUAAAGCACUUUCAGUGAGGAAGAACGCCUGGUGGUUAAUACCCAUCAGGAAAGACAUCACUCACAGAAGAAGCACCGGCUAACUCCGUGCCAGCAGCCGCGGUAAUACGGAGGGUGCGAGCGUUAAUCGGAAUUACUGGGCGUAAAGCGCGCGUAGGUGGCUUGAUAAGCCGGUUGUGAAAGCCCCGGGCUCAACCUGGGAACGGCAUCCGGAACUGUCCAGCUAGAGUGCAGGAGAGGAAGGUAGAAUUCCCGGUGUAGCGGUGAAAUGCGUAGAGAUCGGGAGGAAUACCAGUGGCGAAGGCGGCCUUCUGGACUGACACUGACACUGAGGUGCGAAAGCGUGGGUAGCAAACAGGAUUAGAUACCCCAGUAGUC
rnacentral:rRNA from 1 species